GUGAGGAAUAUUGCGCAAUGGAGGCAACUCUGACGCAGCCAUGCCGCGUGCAGGAAGAAGGCGCUACGCGUUGUAAACUGCUUUUAACCGGGAAGAAACCCCAGGACGUGUCCUGGGUUGACGGUACCGGAGGAAUAAGCACCGGCUAACUUCGUGCCAGCAGACGCGGUAAUACGAAGGGUGCAAGCGUUAUCCGGAUUCAUUGGGUUUAAAGGGUGCGUAGGCGGAGCGUUAAGUCAGUGGUGAAAUCCUGCAGCUUAACUGUAGACUUGCCAUUGAUACUGGCGCUCUUGAGUGCGCUUGAAGUGGGCGGAAUGUGCCGUGUAGCGGUGAAAUGCUUAGAUAUGGCACAGAACACCAAUUGCGAAGGCAGCUCACUAAGGCGAUACUGACGCUGAGGCACGAAAGCGUGGGGAUCGAACAGGAUUAGAUACCCCAGUAGUCC
rnacentral:rRNA from 1 species